rnacentral:lncRNA from 1 species
UUUGUGAAUAGUGGUCAGCCAUAUAUGGUGAAAUUGUAUGAAUAAUUACAAGAUAUUAUGUGAAAUAAUAUCUUGCAAUUAAUAUGACAAUUAAUUCUAAUUUAAAUAGGAAAAUUGAGAGUUACCUUUUGAAUAAGGAUUUGAUGAGGAGUGAUGAGAGGGAUUUGAAUAAAUACCAUUUUGGUCACCUUUGCCUCUUCUUUGAUUGAGUCGUUACUGUCUGUUGCAUGCGCAUGGGAAUUCCGGUGUGCCUCGAGGGUAAUUUUAUCCUUUUCACCCAAAAGUCCAUGUGUCACCUCCAUAAUUUUCUUAAUUAUUUUUGGCUCCACAAGUGUCUCGAAUGGAAUAUACAAAUUUGAGAUGUAAAAGUCACAUUUAUAUUUCAUUUUAUAUUUACGGUAGGUGUAUAUAUUUAAUCCUACUCUAAUGCGAGGUAUGUAAAUUUGGAAUCUCAUUUAUUUUCUCCUUUUGAAUAGCAAGGUCUACCUCCAAAACAUAUUAAAUAAGAGACAUAAAUUUGCAUUUUUAUUUACAUCUUCCGGCGAAGAUGAAUGUUUUACACUUGAGAGCUUUCUGGCUAAUAAAAAAUGUAAAAUGCCAAUUCCAAGACAUUUUGCACCCCCAUUAGAAAUGCUCCAAGGAUGUUAUUAUAGAUACUUUAAAGGAGUAAUUAGGUUUUCAUCCUUAUUUUUACUACUCUAUUGAUUAAAACCUUAUUACUUUUCAAUUUUUG